GAGCGGCGAACGGGUGAGUAACACGUGGGCAUCUGCCCCCCGGCCGGGAUAGCCCAGGGAAACCUGGAUUAAUACCGGAUGAGACGGGACCCGCGAAGGCGGGACCCGGGAAAGGCGCUGCGGCGCCGCCGGGGGAUGAGUCUGCGUCCCAUUAGCUAGACGGCGGGGUAACGGCCCACCGUGGCGACGAUGGGUAGCCGGCCUGAGAGGGUGGACGGCCACAUUGGAACUGAGACACGGUCCAGACUCCUACGGGAGGCAGCAGCUAAGAAUCUUCCGCAAUGGGCGAAAGCCUGACGGAGCGAACCGCCGCGUGAACGAAGAAGGCCGUGAGGUUGUAAAGUUCUUUUCGGGAGGGGGAACAACCGUGGCAGGGAAUGGCCGCGGGAUGACGUGAAUCCCGGAAUAAGCCCCGGCUAACUACGUGCCAGCAGCCGC
rnacentral:rRNA from 1 species